rnacentral:misc_RNA from 1 species
AAGUCGUAACAAGGUCUCCGUAGGUGAACCUGCGGAGGGAUCAUUACUGAGUGAGGGCUCACGCCCGACCUCCAACCCUUUGUGAACACAUCUUGUUGCUUCGGGGGCGACCCUGCCGGCACUUUGUCGCCGGGCGCCCCCGGAGGUCUUCAAACACUGCAUCAAUGCGUCGGAGUUUAAAACAGAUUAAACAAAACUUUCAACAACGGAUCUCUUGGUUCUG